AUUUAGCUUAAUGCCCGCACUAGAACUAGCUGAAAAUGGAGAGCUGAUUUUAGAGGCAUCUAGACUAGCUUGCUGGAUGGAAGAAGGUGAGAACUGCCAUCAGUAGGAACAAGGCAUUCUCCAAGUUAUUUACCUCCCUCUUGGCCUCAGUAUGUCUCCACAGAGCUAAGGCCAAGUAGUUAAAGGAUAAAUUAAUCUGAUGAUGAGACUUUGGAGUUCAGGAUGAUGUGCCUUCUGCCAAUCCCACAGCCCAUGUCUGCCAGGCCUGAUAGGCAUUUACAGACCCCAUUCUUUUAUUUAUGUCUUUAGACAUAAGUAAUUAAGUAGGAUGAAGUAUGGGAAAAAGUGCUUUGUAAAUUCUGAAAUUCUCUGCUAUUACUACUCACUGAAACAGCAGAAGUGGCAGCCCGUGUCACACAAUAUCCCUCCAGCUAGCAUUUGCUGAGUAAAGGAACUGAAUCAAAACGUAAUUGGACAAGAGCAAGUCAAAAAUGGAAAUAAAAGAUGGAGAAGGUAGACAGUUGGUGUCCUCCAUCUAAAACUUUCCUUUAGUAGGGUCAAAUCAGUAAAUAGCUUAUUUUCAUUGGUAAUAGCAUGUAAAAGAUUUGCUAGAUAAAAAUCUAGAAAUGUCACCCUUGGUGAUUAUACAGGGGAGCAACUCUUUGUCUCCUAUCUGUGCUGAACAUGCAUUAGGGUUCCCAUUGCUUUGGACAUCUAUUGAAGUAGCCUUCACUGGACCCCAAACUCACACAAAUCCAAUGCAUAUGCAUGAAACGUCUGAGCCAAAGACCAAAACCACUGUCCUAACAACUAGUCAGUCAUGUAGCUCAGCCCUAGCACUGAGGCUUCCUGAUGAUCUUCAAGUGGGAUUCGAUCUUUGGUACCCAGAGAAUGGGCGAAAGUUUCAAGAAGAGAUUUCUCAAGCCUUGAGGCUUCACAAGAAGGAGAGAUUAAGGAAGAGAAAUGAUGAAUACAAAGAUGAAAACAAAAAGGAUUGUUUACAUGGGAGUUGAGAUGAGUGAUAUCAAUAUGAGAAGUGAAUUUGGAUGGAGCAAACUGAUUUUAUCUGCUUCCACUUAUGAAAAGAGGAUCAUGGAGACCACCGAUAAUGGGAGUCAGCUUGUGAGAGAAAGACAGAAGGGGGAGAUCUCACAGCUUUUCUUCCUCUGGCUGCAAAAUGGCAGAAUCUGACCCCAAUGAAUAGGACUCUGUCGCUUCCAAAGUUGGAGAAAUGUGCCUGCUUUCUCACGCUAGUAAGUGAACCAAACAAACGCAUGAACGGAAACACCUCAACUCUGCCCUGCUGACCCGUUUGCAAACCUGAGAACUACAGACCUCUUGCUCUUCUUGGCUGCCUGGAGCUCUCUGACUCGAAAACAAAAUUUUAAUGUGUUUGAUACCCGUUUCUAAUCUUGUGCUGGGAGAAUUAAGAAAAUAUGGCCACAUACAUGUAAUGAGGCUUUUGCUCUGAACACAGCUUUUGGCUUUCAUCAUAGUUUAAUUCAUUUGCUUUGGUCUUUCAUUCACAGCAUCACUCUACUUAAAGGAGCAUCCUGUUCUGAUGUUUAAAUUUGGACAGACCAAUGUUGGCUAGUUCAUGGUAUAUUUAGAUUUCAGGAAGGACUCAAUGCUGACACCAUGACUAUUUGCCCAAGCCCUUGUCAUAGAGUGUAACAUUCCAUGAGAACGGAUGCUGCUUGUUUAAUCAGCCACCCCAGCACCUGGUACCUUAUUGCCUAAUUGUAGAAAAGUCCUGUGUGGAGGACAGGACCCAAAAGAAUUGUAUUUACAUUCCUUUCUUUCCUUAUGCUGUAGAUAGCAGGCUGAUUUUAGAGAUGCUUUUAUUUACAGAAGGGAAAAUUGAAUUAGAGAGGUCCUAUCCUGUUGCAAGUAGAGCUGCUUUGGGGGGAAACAGGUAUUCUCAAGUAUCCUCCACUACAGAGCUAGGAUGUGUGAGCCCAGAAGCACUUGGGGUUUGGCAAGUUUUUGUAGUAUUUUUGAAAUAUUUGGGGUUCAGCAGAGCACAAAUGUAUUUUGCUCAAAGCACCAUUUCCAUUUAAUUUUCUCAAACCAUGUACAUUGAGGGAAAUUUAAUCUGCGUAUUUUGGAAUCAUUUAACUCUUAUACAUCAAAAUAUUGCAUGGUAAACACUAGAUCUGGAUUCAACAAACCUCUGGAGUGCUUUGGUGUUUUUGGGUUUUUUUGUUGUUGUGGUUAUUUUCCCCCUUUGAAUAUGAGAAUGAAAGUUUACUUUGCAUGAAUCCAGAGUAGUACCUACUUCUCAAGUAGAAGCCUACUUCUCAAGUUAUCCUAGCCACUGUGGGGAGAUUUACAUGUGUCUAGUAUAAAACAGUGCUGGGGACAAGGCUUUUGGGGGGCAAGUCUCUCAGGAACAAGCCUUGCCCAUUUAAGGGAUUUUCCAUGAAGGCUUCCAAGCACCCCAUUUGGCUUAGGCAGGAUUCAAUCUCUUUUGAUGCAGCCACAGCCCAAAGUUAAUUCCAGCCCACAAGUCAAUCCUAGGUCCAGAUGUUUCUGAACCUUAUAAUCCUGUCUUUGUUUAAAAUUAAUUUUUUGCUCAUCAUGGGGCUUUAAGCAUUAGUUUUUAUGGUAAAGCAGUACAUUGAAAUCUUAUUUAUCUUGAUUAUUGAGGUUUUUGGCAUGUUAAGUUUUGUGCCUAAGCAAGUGUCCUGGUGGCCUCACACUUGGGUCCCCUGUCCUCUUUACUCCUGGGUGGGGCAUGGGGGCUGAGAACUUCUGCUCUAGUUCAGGUGUGACUUUUGGCUCAGCAGAGCUUUCUUUUCUUGGGCUCAGGUGCCCCAUACCCAGUGUGUCUCCUUGUGUGCUUCUUAUCCCAUGUGUCUCAGAGUUAGUGCUGAGGCCACAAUUUGUGAGUUUUUUUCUUGUCACAAACUUACCUGUAUGCUGCAGGAUAAGAAUAAAAAUACUCAUUUCUAAGACAUAACUUUGUUCCAUCAAAAUGAUUAUUUUAUUUUAAUCUCAUACAGAUUAGAAACAAGAAACAUCUCAUUCACUCUAUUAUUCAUCCCAGUGGUACCCAAGUGUGGAUUUUAAACCAAAGGAAGUGGAAGACAUUGCUUGAGGUCACACAGAGCCUUGUCAUGAUCAGCUUUAAAUUCAAGUCCUUGACCAGGGAUUUAGCUCAGUGGUGCUGCGCCUGCAUUGCAAGUGCAAGGUCCUGAGUUUGAUCCC